rnacentral:tRNA from 1 species
AUUUAUAUAGUUUAAAUAAAACKUUACAUUUUCAUUGUAAAAAUAAAAAAAUUUUUUUUUAUAAAUA